GACGAACGCUGGCGGCGCGCCUAACACAUGCAAGUCGAACGAGCGAGAGAGAGCUUGCUUUCUCGAGCGAGUGGCGAACGGGUGAGUAACGCGUGAGGAACCUGCCUCAAAGAGGGGUACAACAGUUGGAAACGACUGCUAAUACCGCAUAAGCCCACGACCCGGCAUCGGGGAGGGGAAAAAGGAGCAAUCCGCUUUGAGAUGGCCGCGCGUCCGAUUAGCUAGUUGGUGAGGUAACGGCCCACCAAGGCGACGAUCGGUAGCCGGACUGAGAGGUUGAACGGCCACAUUGGGACUGAGACACGGCCCAGACUCCUACGGGAGGCAGCAGUGGGGAAUAUUGCACAAUGGGGGAAACCCUGAUGCAGCGGCGUCGCGUGGAGGAAGAAGGUCUUCGGAUUGUAAACUCCGGUUGUAGAGGAAGAGAAUGACGGUACUCAACAAGGAAGUGACGGCUAACUACGUG
rnacentral:rRNA from 1 species